AUACGUAGGGGGCGAGCGUUGUCCGGAAUGACUGGGCGUAAAGGGCGUGUAGGCGGCCGAUUAAGUCUGGAGUGAAAGUCCUGCUUUCAAGGGGGGAAUUGCUUUGGAGACUGGUUGGCUUGAGUGCGGAAGAGGUAAGUGGAAUUCCCAGUGUAGCGGUGAAAUGCGUAGAGAUUGGGAGGAACACCAGUGGCGAAGGCGACUUACUGGACUGUAACUGACGCUGAGGCGCGAAAGUGUGGGGAGCAAACAGGAUUAGAUACCCUGGUAGUCCACACUGUAAACGAUGAAUGCUAGGUGUAGGGGGUAUCGACCCCUUCUGUGCCGCAGUCAACACAAUAAGCAUUCCGCCUGGGGAGUACGGCCGCAAGGUUGAAACUCAAAGGAAUGGACGGGG
rnacentral:rRNA from 1 species